rnacentral:rRNA from 2 species
AGUCGAGCGAUCGACGGGAGCUUGCUCCCUGAGAUUAGCGGCGGACGGGUGAGUAACACGUGGGCAACCUGCCUAUAAGACUGGGAUAACUUCGGGAAACCGGAGCUAAUACCGGAUACAUUCUUUUCUCGCAUGAGAGAAGAUGGAAAGACGGUUUACGCUGUCACUUAUAGAUGGGCCCGCGGCGCAUAGCUAGUUGGUGAGGUAAUGGCUCACCAAGGCGACAAUGCGUAGCCGACCUGAGAGGGUGAUCGGCCACACUGGGACUGAGACACGGCCCAGACUCCUACGGGAGGCAGCAGUAGGGAAUCUUCCGCAAUGGACGAAAGUCUGACGGAGCAACGCCGCGUGAACGAAGAAGGCCUUCGGGUCGUAAAGUUCUGUUGUUAGGGAAGAACAAGUACCAGAGUAACUGCUGGUACCUUGACAGUACCGAAGCAGAAAGCCACGGCUAACUACGUGCCAGCAGCCGCGGUAAUACGUAGGUGGCAAGCGUUGUCCGGGAAUUAUUGGGCGUAAAGCGCGCGCAGGGUGGUUCCUUAAGUCUGAUGUGAAAGCCCACGAGCUCAACCGUGGAGGCGUCAUU